rnacentral:rRNA from 1 species
UACAGAGGUCCCGAGCGUUGUUCGGAUUCAUUGGGCGUAAAGGGUGCGUAGGCGGCGGGGAAAGUCUGAUGUGAAAUCCUGGGGCUCAACCCCGGAACUGCAUUGGAUACUUCCUUGCUAGAGUACUGGAGAGGAAACUGGAAUUUACGGUGUAGCAGUGAAAUGCGUAGAGAUCGUAAGGAAGACCAGUGGCGAAGGCGAGUUUCUGGACAGUUACUGACGCUGAGGCACGAAGGCCAGGGGAGCAAACGGG